rnacentral:lncRNA from 1 species
AUGGAAGUCAGACAGCAGAGAUGGGGUCAUGUGUCUGAAGGAAGAGCGGCUGAGAGCAGGCUCAGUGUAGGAACCACUGUCCUUGGUCCUGAAUUCAAACGUCCUGUCCGAUGGAAUGCUGACGACUCCAACUCCGGGGGAACUCCCAGGAAAGGCAUGUCCACCCCGAAGGAAGGGCAGAGAUGGCAGACAAUGAGGGAGGUCCAAAGAGUUUACUUUCAGAGGUGGAGAGGCGAGGCAGGUGAAGGCCUGGAGUAAGGUCCGAAAAAGUCAGAUUCUUGGACGUGGUCGAAAGAAAAAUGGAACUAUGUGAAGGUGAGUACAACAGGGGGAUAGAGGGGAUAGCCAGGGAGUAUCUGUGACCACAGACAUUGUCAUUGUCAUGUGCCUGAACUCAGGAAUCACUGCAAUGGAGAGGUGUAUUCCACUCGUUCGAAAGUAGACACAACCCAGGAGGGCCAUGCUCUUCCAAAAAGAACCUUUUCAUUUCAUUAUUGAUUGAUUGAUUGAUUGAUUGAUUGAUUGAUUGAUUGUCCUGGUGAUUUGCUAGGAACCAGACAUAGCGAUGGAAGCAAGCAAUCUGGUUCCAUCAUCGAGGACUUUUUCAAUUUGAAGCACUGCUGACCAGUACACUUGUUGAGGGCCGUAGC